GAACGAGAAAGGGGAGCAAUCCCUGAGUAAAGUGGCGACCGGGUGAGUAACACGUGACUAACCUACCCUGGAGUGGGGAAUAACUGAGGGAAACCUUAGCUAAUACCGCAUAAUACCUACGGGUCAAAGGAGCAAUUCGCUUCAGGAGGGGGUCGCGGCCGAUUAGCUAGUUGGCGGGGUAACGGCCCACCAAGGCGAAGAUCGGUAUCCGGCCUGAGAGGGCGCACGGACACACUGGAACUGAAACACGGUCCAGACUCCUACGGGAGGCAGCAGUGGGGAAUUUUGCGCAAUGGGCUCAACCCUGACGCAGCAACGCCGCGUGGAGGAUGAAGCCCUUUGGGGCGUAAACUCCUUUCGACUCGGACGAUAAUGACGGUACGAGUGGAAGAAGCACCGGCUAACUCUGUG
rnacentral:rRNA from 1 species